GCAUCAUGGGUGCCUUCAGAGCCUGGAGGGGAGGAGCCCUGGAACCUAGGCUGCACCCAUGCUGCUGCCACGGCCCCAGCCUGCUGGGAGCCAGAGCUUGAGUCUAAGCUGGAGCCCAGCCAGGCUCCGGGGUCCUGCCACCGCCUGCUGGGGAGUCAAAUUUGUGAAAUGCGAAUUUAGUAAAGAGAGAGCUGUCUGGCUCCCAGCAGCAGAUGAGGAAACUGAGGCUGAGAAAGGCGAAGUGGCUCACGUAGGGUCACGCACUAGGAAGUGUCUGAGUUGGAAGCUGAAGCCAGGUCUUCCUGACUCCGGUCCAGAGCCAUGGCCACCCCACAGCAGAGGAGACAACCGUCCGUCCGUCCAGCCUCCACUAAACGUUCUUGGGUCGCACCAUCUUCCGGGCAGCCCAUUUGCCUUUGGGGCUGCUGCCUCUCAUUGUCAGCGAGGUUUUCCUGAGGCUGCCUCUUUGCAAACUCCACCCAGUGCUCAGUGAGUGCCCUUAGCGUGCUAAGGUGCAGCUUUCAUAAUCCCGAGCACAGACGUCCCAUGACUGCAGAAACACAAUAAAAGCACCCUGAAGGGCUCAGAUACCCCUUCUUAUUCACACUGCCCCUUCCUUCUUUGUGGUGUAUCUCAUCUUAGGCUCCUGGAAGCCACAGCAUGGUUCCUUUCAUUCAAUAAACAUUUAUUAAGUACUUCCUAUAUGCCAGACACUGUGUUAAACACUGGGGAUACAAAAAAAGGCAGAAGACAGUCCCUCCCCUUAAGGAGCUUACAAUCUAACAUUUUCUGAGAUGCAGAGAAAAACAGUGGAAGGAUUUGGAGGACAGGAGAGGACUGAACCCUGCAGGAGCUGUCUCUGGGGGCUCUGACUGGCAUAGAGCACAUGCACGAGAAUCAGACCUGAUCUACCUGUGUCUGCAGGCUACUCAGACAAAGAUAAGGUUGCUCAGCGAGGGGCUGAGGGGGUUGGUGUCUUCAUGCACAACCUCCUUUCUCACUUUCCACCCCUCAGAGAUUCUUCUUCUUAUUCUUGAGGUGCUGCCACAGCUGUGUGUAUCCACGCUGGCACCCAGUGCCCACUCUGUCAAGAAGAGGAAUAGUCUCCAGCGGCCGUUUGUCCUUUGAGAUGGCCAGGCUCUGAGCUCCUGUCUCCCCACGCUCAGAGCUUUUGCUGGAGAGAUUCAAGGCCUAAAUAACUCCCUUCCAUUCUGGGUAUGCAAUGGAAAAUCUGGCUCUGGGGCAUCCACCCUUCUGAUCCCCGAAAUGUCUGCAUUUAAUCCCAAGGGUCACAGAUGAUGACGGCAUCUAUACGGCAUUUCAAGAUGAGGAUCAUCUGAGGCAGAUACUGAAGUCCUUUGCUUAGGGUCACACAGCUGGUGUCUGAGGCUGAUUUCAAACUCCUCUUUUUGACUCCAAGGCCACUGGCUUUAUCCACUGCGCCACCUAGCUCCCACUGAUUGACCUCAAUGACUGCACAAGCAUAACCUAUAUAACGUUUCCCUUCUCAGUGAGAGGGAGGAAUGGAGAGAAUUUGGAACUCAAAAUUGUUUUUAAAUGGAUGUUAAAAAUUGUUUUUCAUAUGUAACUGGGGAAAAAUCAAAUAUUAAAUUAAAAUAGAUCUGAUCUCAGAUGUCAAUUAGUCCAACACUCAUUUGACAGAUGAGAGUGAGGCCCAGAGAGGUGAAGGGACCAGCCCAAGUCACUCAGGUAGCAAGUAGACUUGGCUCAGGUCCCUAUAACUCACAGCUUUGAGGGGAAAUUUUGGGGUUCUUCCACUGAACUUCCCUCCUUCCUCACUGACCUUAGCCCCUGGGCCUGCUUGGCUGCCUGGGUACCAAGAGCAGCUGUUCCUGGUCCCUCCAGACCCUUCCCCUUCCCUCAUCCUAGGUGACCUCCUUCUUCCCCAUCCCAGCUGUCUCUCUUCCCAGUGGGGGUGUAUUCUCUAAAACUUCCUCCACAAAUUAGGAAAAUCCACCUGUGGAACACAAUCUCAGACUCGAUGGCCCCAAUGUCUUCAGUUCCUCCAAGUAGUUCCUGUUCUCGGGCCUAAGCUCAUACCUGAUUCUCUCCUCACCUAAGAGCCUCUUCCUUCUCCCUGCCCCAGACAUUGAUCCUCCCUCCCUA